UACAGAGGUGGCAAGCGUUGUUCGGAAUUACUGGGCGUAAAGGGCGCGUAGGUGGCCUUCUUAGUCAGACGUGAAAUCCCUGGGCUUAACUCAGGAACUGCGUCUGAUACUGGAAGGCUCGAGUUCGGGAGAGGAAUGUGGAAUUCCAGGUGUAGCGGUGAAAUGCGUAGAUAUCUGGAGGAACACCGGUGGCGAAGGCG
rnacentral:rRNA from 1 species